GCCCGGGUGGCGAAACCGGUAGCCGCGAACGACUUAAAAUCGUUUGGCCCUAGGCCGUGCAGGUUCGAGUCCUGCCCCGGGCACCA
rnacentral:tRNA from 1 species